rnacentral:tRNA from 1 species
GGAAAAUUGUCCGAGUGGUUGAAGGAGCCGGUCUCGAAAACCGGUAAGCCUACUAAGGCUUCGUGGGUUCAAAUCCCACAUUUUCCG